AGAAGGUGCAUAUGUUCACCGGGGGAGACAGCAAGGGCCACCCUGAGCAGCCUAUUAUCACAAAAAUGUUGGAGAAGCUAGGUGGAAUUUUAAGCGAAACUGGAUAUUGUCCCGAUGGCAGCUUUGUGCUUCAUGAUGUGGACGAGGAAGAGAAGACGCAUAGCUUGGGUUAUCAUAGUGAAAAACUAGCUGUAGCAUACGGACUCCUAAAAGUGCCUGAAGAGAGAAGACGCAUAGCUUGGGUUAUCAUAGUGAAAAACUAGCUGUAGCAUACGGACUCCUAAAAGUGCCUGAAGGGAUGCCAAUUAGAGUUAUGAAAAAUUUGCGGGUUUGUGGUGAUUGUCAUUCUGCGAUCAAAUUGAUUGCAAAAGUCACCGGAAGGGAGAUCAUUUUAAGAGAUGCCAAUAGGUUUCACCAUUUUAAAGAUGGCCACUGUUCUUGCAAGGACUUUUGGUAGUUCCUUGAAACAGUCAC
rnacentral:lncRNA from 1 species